GUCUGGAGGUGAAUGGGAACGAAGAGAGAAAUCGCUGGAGAAACUCGGCAGCUUCUGUGGAGUUAAAGCAGAGUUUGUGCUGAGCCUCGCUGAAAACCUGCAGCAGGCCCCGACCCAGAGACGUUGGGGCGAGGGAACACGGUGCUGUGUGGAAAUGGCAGGAAACUGGGAAACCCGGGAUCAUUUCUACAUAACGUAGGUAUCCCGCAAAGUGGGUCGCCAGUCUGUCUCGUCUCCCCGGUGUGAGCAGUGAAUACAGGAAACUCGAUUGAGUGAAGGUGCAGAUAAAGCGCUGCUUCAUGCAGAAGGCUGUUGAGUACAGAGUUCUCCUUGUGCACCUUCUGGAAGAAGAAAUGUGGGCACGUCUCAUCCUGCUCCUCUGUGCGGAACCUGGACCGGAAGAUUAUCUUGGAGACCUCUGAAGCAAAGAACGACACUUGCUGGCUCAUUACGUCCUGAAGAUCAUCCAUGACAUUGACCCCAUUGUCUGCAGCCGGACUAGGUUCUGCAUACUUUUCUGGAGUUUGGGCAGUCUUCUCUUUCACCUUUUGAAUACCUUUGAGGAUAAAGAAUCUCUUGAUGUUCCACUUGACUGGUUCCCAGCAGUCCACUGGAAACUCGAAGCAGGGCUUCAUGGCUCUUCAGCCUGUGUAAUCUCUUCCAAGCUCCCUUAUGUUUUCAGAGGUCAAUAGUUUCACAUUCAGCUUUCACGUUCCAUUGCCGGCACACUGGUCGUCUUGUAGGUGACAAUCGGCCAGCAGGUGGUAGUUGUCAGAGAACAACGGCUUGACAUCAGUGGAUCUGACUGAGAAUGUGCGGGAUGCAAACAGGAAAUCUGUCCUUGAACAGAUAGUCCCAUUUGGCCACAAACCGGUGUAUCAACACUGCGCUCCAUUUUCAGGGGUAUUGAAGACGUCAUACAUCUUGGUGACUUUAACUGUUUCUAUCAGGAAUCUGGACGUUGGGUCCGUUUUGCUGUCAGUCCUUCCGCAUUGUGGAACACUUGUAUGUUGAGACUGUUUAAUUUAGGCUGAGUAGUAAUGAGUUUAAAUAAUACAGGACUAGGAGUACGAAGGAGGGAAACUUUAGCUUUAUGAAACGGUACACAUUGCUGUAACUGCAACCUGCCUUUCCCUCAUCUAAGAAGACACGUAGGAUAGAUAGCAAAAAGCUAGGGCUCGCAGCAUCUGUACACUCUUAUCUUCACUGCAUUCUGCUUCAAUUAAUGUAUGUCUGGUUGCCAAAGUAUUAACCUUGCCUUGCUAAAACACAGUGCAAUUCCAGUUUGUUUUAACCUGUUUGUACCACUGUAUAAAUUCUGCUUCUUUUUUGUGGUUGUCGGAGUCUUUGGACCUGACCUU